UACGUAGGGACCAAGCGUUGUCCGGAAUUAUUGGGCGUAAAGAGCUCGUAGGCGGCUGUCCACGUCGGAUGUGAAAGCUCGGGGCUCAACCCUGAGAGGCCAUUCGAUACGGGACGGCUAGAGGUAGGUAGGGGAGAUUGGAAUUCCUGGUGUAGCGGUGAAAUGCGCAGAUAUCAGGAGGAACACCGGUGGCGAAGGCGGAUCUCUGGGCCGAUACUGACGCUGAGGAGCGAAAGCGUGGGGAGCGAACAGG
rnacentral:rRNA from 1 species